UGGGGGAUAUUGCACAAUGGGCGAAAGCCUGAUGCAGCGACGCCGCGUGGGGGAUGAAGGCUUUCGGGUUGUAAACCUCUUUCGCUAUCGAACAAGGCCCGCUUAGGGUGGGUUGAGGGUAGGUGGAGAAGAAGCGCCGGCUAACUACGUGCCAGCAGCCGCGGUAAUACGUAGGGCGCGAGCGUUGUCCGGAAUUAUUGGGCGUAAAGGGCUUGUAGGCGGCUUGGUGCGCCUGCUGUGAAAACGCGGGGCUUAACUUCGCGCGUGCAGUGGGUACGGGCAGGGUUGAGUGUGGUAGGGGUGACUGGAAUUCCAGGUGUAGCGGUGGAAUGCGCAGAUAUCUGGAGGAACACCGAUGGCGAAGGCAGGUCACUGGGCCAUUACUGACGCUGAGGAGCGAAAGCAUGGGUAGCGAACAGG
rnacentral:rRNA from 1 species